GCGGAUGCAGGGGGCCGACUGCAAGGGGAAGAGGAACGAGCUGGACAAGGAGAAGCAGAUAAUAAUCCCUGUGUUCCUGGGCGAGUCAGUGCCACCUGAGAUGUUGGCAGCCACUUUGGCUGAGCUAGACGUGUGCCUGCAGCUGCUUGAGGACAAGUUCCUGUGGGACCAGGCCUUCCUUACUGGGUCCCAUAUCUCUGUGGCUGACUUGGUGGCAAUCAUGGAGCUGAUGCAUCCCAUCAGCGCUGGCUGCUGAGUCUUUGAAAGCAGACCCACAAUGGCAGCAUGGCGCCCAAUGUGUGGAGACUGCAGUGGGGGAGGACCUCUUCCAGGAGGCCCUCGCAGCUGUCCUGAAGGCCAAGACCUGCCUCCAGUAGAACCUGCUGUUAAAGAGAAUCUGAAGCCCUAAUGCAGCUUUUCUUUUUUUUUUUUUUUUUUUUUUUUUUUUUUUUUUUUGAGGCGGAGUCUCGCUCUGUCGCCCGGACUGGAGUGCAGUGGCCAGAUCUCAGCUCACUGCAAGCUCCGCCUCCCGAGUUUACGCCAUUCUCCUGCCUCAGCCUCCCGAGUAGCUGGGACUACAGGCGCCCGCCACUUCGCCCGGCUAGUUUUUGUAUUUUUAGUAGAGACGGGGUUUCACCGUGUUAGCCAGGAUGGUCUCGAUCUCCUGACCUGGUGAUCCGCCCGUCUCGGCCUCCCAAAGUGCUGGGAUUACAGGCUUGAGCCACCGCGCCCGGCCCUAAUGCAGCUUUUCUUACUGUGAGUGUGUGUCCCGGACUUGCUGAGCCACUGAGGGGAUGCUGUGUUAGUAGAAUAAAGACAUGGAGCCGUCUGUCUCCUUGGUUGUAAAGAAGACACAUCUGCGCAGGCUGUGGUCCACAGCUCCUCCAGGUAUCAUGCCUGCAUUCCUUUUGUCUCCUACCCCAUUCCUUUCUAGCUUCCAUGUGACCUCUGAAAAGAGCUUUGGCAAACACUUAUUUGACCCUGUCCUUCUGUGUGGAACUUUCUAUGGUUCCUCGCUGCCCAGAGGCUAAAGUACAAGUCAUUGAACUUUGCAUUCAAGGCCUUGCUCCC
rnacentral:lncRNA from 1 species